rnacentral:lncRNA from 1 species
CGUGGUUGGUCCUUCCCACAGCCGCGGGGACUCAGCGCCAUUGUCCUGUGGGGAGGAAGGACCCCUUCUGCUGUGGGGUUGAAGUGAUCCCACCACGAUCCUACAUCCAGUGGAUCCAUCCGGUGAUCCCAAAGGGACCCCACCUCCAUCGGAUCCAUCCAGAGUGAUCCCAAAGGGACCCCAUCUCCAUUGGCUCUAUCCAGAAGAGAUCCCACCAC